GACGAACGCUGGCGGCGUGCCUAAUACAUGCAAGUUGAACGAGAGCGACCGGUGCUUGCACUGGUCAAUCUAGUGGCGAACGGGUGAGUAACACGUGGGUAACCUGCCCAUCAGAGGGGGAUAACAUCCGGAAACGGAUGCUAAAACCGCAUAGGUCUUCGAGCCGCAUGGCUUGAAGAGGAAAAGAGGCGCAAGCUUCUGCUGAUGGAUGGACCCGCGGUGCAUUAGCUAGUUGGUGAGGUAACGGCUCACCAAGGCCGUGAUGCAUAGCCGACCUGAGAGGGUGAUCGGCCACAUUGGGACUGAGACACGGCCCAAACUCCUACGGGAGGCAGCAGUAGGGAAUCUUCCGCAAUGGACGCAAGUCUGACGGAGCAACGCCGCGUGAGUGAAGAAGGUUUUCGGAUCGUAAAACUCUGUUGUUAGAGAAGAACAAGUGCUAGAGUAACUGUUAGCGCCUUGACGGUAUCUAACCAGAAAGCCACGGCUAACUACGUG
rnacentral:rRNA from 1 species